rnacentral:rRNA from 1 species
GCCGUUAAGCCUCUUAUUUCAUUAAAGGUUGACCUCGAAUCGGGUAGGGAUACCCG